GGGUUAAGUCCGCAACGAGCGCAACCCUCGCCUUAGUUGCCAGCAUUCAGUUGGGCACUCUAAAGGGACUGCCGGUGGUCAAACCGGAGGAAGGCGGGGGAGUGACGUCAAGUCCUCAUGGCCUUUAUGUCCAGGGCUACACACGUACUACAAUGGCCGGUACAAAGGGCGGCGAGUCAGCGAUGACAAGCAAAUCCCGAAAAGCCGGUCUCAGUCCGGAUUGGAGUCUGCAACUCGGCUCCAUGAAGUUGGAAUCGCUAGUAAUCGUGGAUCAGCAUGCCACGGUGAAUACGUUCCCGGGCCUU
rnacentral:rRNA from 1 species